UUGGCCGCUUGUACCCGUGAAAAGCCAGCAUCUGUGAUGGUAUGGGUGUGUAUUAGUGCCCAAAGGCAUGGGUAACUUACACAUCUGUGAAGGCACCAUUAAUGCUAAAAGGUACAUACAGGUUUUGGAGCAAAAUAUGUUGCCAUCUAAGCAAGGUUAUCAUGGACGCCCCUGCUUAUUUCAGCAAGACAAUGCCAAGCCACGUGUUACAAGAGCGUGGCUUCAUAGUAAAAGAGUGCGGGUACUCGACUGGCCUGCCUGUAGUCCAGACCUGUCGCCCAUUGUGUGGUGCAUUAGGAAGCCUAAAAUAUCACAACGGAGACUCGGACAGUUGAACAACUAAAGCUGUAAAUCAAGCGAGAAAAGGAAAUAAUCCCACCUGAAAAGUUUCAAAAAUUGGUCUGCUCAGUUCCCAAAUGUUUAGCGAGUGUUGUUAAAAGGAAAGGCCAUGUAACACAGUGGUAAAAAUGCACUUGUGCCAACUUUUUUGCAAUGUGUUGCUGCCAUUAAAUUCUAAAUUAAUGAUUAUUUGCACAAAAAGCAGUAAGUUUCUCAGUUGGAACAUUAAAUAUCUUGUCUUUGCAGUCUAUUCAAUUGAAUAUAAGUUGAGUCGAAAAAGCUUUGCAAAUCACUGGUUUUGGGGUUUGUAGUUGAAGUUUUCAUUACAGAGUAAACAGUGAAAGAUGGAGUUUUUAAGGAGAGAUUCAAAGGUGAACACUUGGAAGAAUUGAAGAGCUUUCUUGGCUGUCUUCAGGAUUUUUGCUGUUGCUAAGCAUUGCUGACGUCUGUUGGCUUCCGAUCCAUAACGGAACUGUCUUUCCUUUCAGGUGCUAAUGAUUGACACCAGCACGCCCGCCAUGCUGGACAGAAGCGGGCCAGCACACUGCACCGUGUGCUGCUGCACGCUGGCCAAUAAAAUCCUCAUGGUGGUCUUCAUGGUGCUGCUGAUCCUGGCCAUCCUGUUUGGGAACCUGCUGACGCUGGCGGUGGUGCUGGGCACCAAACACUUCCACACGCCUCAGGGCUACCUGAAGGCCUCGCUGGCCGUGGCCGACCUGGCGGUGGGCGCCUUUGUGGUGCCGCUCUCCGUCUACGCCGAGGUCUACCUCAUGGCCGGGGACGCGGCGCCCGAGUGGACGAUGUCCAACUCGCAGUCGGUGAGUUUUCACCCGUGCAACGUCAUCGGGCCCAUCUUCGCCGGCUGCACGCUGGUGUCCAUCACCACCAUCUUCCUGCUGACCAUCGAGCGGGGCAUCGCCGUGCUGCGCCCGCUGCACAAAGACUCGGUGAUAACCCGGAAAAGGACCACCAUCCUCAUCUGGCUAUCCUGGCUGGGAAGCUUCUUCCUGGCCGUGUCGCCCAUGGUCUUCAGCCGCGAGAUCGCCCUGGAGUACAACCCCUGCAGCCGCAUGUGCAACUAUGCGCUGGGCACCAUCAGCGAGUUCCCCUCGCAGGCCUGGAACAUCCUCCUCCUCUUCCCGGCCUUCGACUUCACGCUGCUGGGCGGCACAGUGGCCAUCAACAUCAUCUCGCUGUCCAGCAUCAGGCAGCACUCCAAGCGCAGGAAGCACCUGGCCGAGGCCGACUGCCAGAGCGCCACCAAGCCCACCUUCUCCGACAUCAAGGCGGCCAAAACCAUCGGGGCGCUGACAGUGGCCUUCAGCGCCUCCUUCACGCCCAUCGCCGUCUUUGUGGUGGGCAACGUUUUGGGGAACGAGUGGUGUAACUUCUCCUUUUUUGCCUUUUGGAUUUUGGCCGCCAACAGCUGCUGCAACGUGAUAAUUUACAGCGUUCGCGAUCAGAAGUUCAGGAUUUGUGCGCACAAGCUGCUCAUGCCUCUGAGGAGGAGAAAGGCCAGCAGCAGCAGCUGCAGACAGACUUGAUCUUUCUUCUCCGUGCUCUUCUUCGUCGUCUUUGAAGCGCAAGGGAUGCUGGGGCGAGUCUUGUUCUCCGUCAAGCUGUGGAACAGUUCUUCAACUUCAACACGUGGCCAGGACUAACUUCUCAGACGUUCAUAAUAAACUUUAUAGGAAGUCAGCAACGCUUUGAAAGUGUCCUACACAGCUUUGUACUUGACUUAAGUGUCCAAACUACGGCCCGCGAGACCUCACAAGUUCAACAAAACAUCCCACUGUGCUUUCAAAUUAAUUUUAAAUGACCGGCGGUCCCUGGAUACUACAUAUUUGCUGCCAUCUUGUGGACAAACGACGUGAUGAGGAAGAAAAACCCGAAUGAACUGAUGAACCGGCGAGGCCGUCGUGGUCUGCAAGGUGGCGAGUCAAAACAAGGGCGCGAAGCCAGAAGCCGCAGCGUCAAGGGCGACUCCAGCUUUUCUCAGCAAUUACACUGACGUGCGCGACACCGCUGCCUUGACCCCUGAAUACCCCUCGGACUCAAUCAGGUGAGCAUUUCUCAAGGAGCCAUUAAAGUCUUUGAAAGCUACUUAAAGCCUCCAAGCGGGUCUCAUUUGCCACGGGCAUGGAUGAUAAGUUUACUUUGGCACAUAGGGGUGAAAUGACAAAACGUCUGCAAGUGUUGUCAACGUUGCUGCUGACAAGGUAUGGCACACGGCACCGUGAGACUGGGACUUAAAAGUACCUACUUUUUCAUUGCUAAAGCAAAUUUAGAUGAAACGGCAGUAUUUAAAAGACUUAUUUUACAAUUCUGUGUUUAUAUUAUUCACAUGUGAAUAAUGCUGUAUAAUAGUGUCAGGAAUAUGACUUGGAUUAGUUUUGCUUCUUCGAAGCAGAGGGAAUUUGAUAACGAGCUAGGCGAGAAUGUGAGUACAUGAUUAAUUUAUUUACACACUAUAAUACAAAAAGGGAAAACAAAGGGCGCGCUCAGUGGCAGAUAAUCUAUACUAAACUCCAAACAAACCAGCACAAUGGCAUGAGUAUAUACAAAUAAACAAAAGAUACUAUCAAUGGUACAAAACAAACCCCCCCCAAAAAAAUUUGCAUAGAGGCAUAAAUAUAAACAUGAUCUUACGUGCUGUGGUCAAAUCAAUAAUCAGCGUGGCAAGGCAAGUGUGUGGUCAUCAGGGUUCGAUACAAAUUCAGGUAGGUAAAGCAAGUACACAGGCAUGUAGCAAGUAGUAAGCACAAAGUUCCCAGGCCGAGGACAGAAACAGAAUGGUAUAAAUAAUGACUGUGAAGAUGAUUACUAACAGGUGUGAGGCUGAGGACAGGGGCAUGACUUGUAGACCAGGUGGAAACUAUUGAGUAACUAUGGAAACAAACAAAACCAGGAAGUGCAAACACGGGAAACGAGUCCAAAAACAUAACAUGAUCAAACAUAAACCCAGAUUAACAGGCAUGACAAAUAGACUGUAUUUAUAUUAUUCACAUGUGAAUAAUGCUGUAUAAUAGAGUCUAUCAUACAACAUUAUUCACAUACAUAAUAUAUGAAUGUAUAAUAGUCUAUUAUACAACAUUAUUCACAUGUGAACAGUGUAAAUACAGUCUAUUAUACAGCAUUAUUCACAUGUGAAUAAUAUAAAUACAGUCUAUUAAACAGCAUUAUUCAAAUGUGAAUAAUAUAAAUAGUCUAUUAAACAGCAUUAUUCACAUGUGAAUAAUAUAAAUACAGUCUAUUAAACAGCAUUAUUCACAUGUGAAUAAUAUAAAUACAGUCUUAUGUAUAUUUAAUGUGUCUAUUCAAUGUGUUUAUUUAAUAGACUGUAUUUAUAUUAUUCACAUGUGAAUCAGCUCUAUAAUAGACUGUGUUGAUGUUAUUCACAUGUGAAAAAGCUGUAUAAUGGACUGUAUUUAUAUUAUUCACAUUUGAAUCAUGCUAUAUAACAGACUGUAAGUAUAUCAUUCACAUGUGAAUAAUGUCGUAUGAUAGACUGUAUUUAUAUUAUUCACAUGAAAAAAAAAAUACCCAAGUGUUUGUUGUUUAUUGUGAGCGAACUGUGGUACUGAAUUUCCCCAAGAGAUCAAUAAAGUACUUUCUAUUCUAUUCUAUAGCAAAUCAUGCGAUGUCGUCAUAUCGACCACACUAACCCCCCCCCCCACAAGUAUUUUGGCAAUUUUGGGGAAAC